AUUUGAGUAGUUUAGAAAAAAUAUUGAUCUGUGGAGUCAAAGAUGUAGUAAUAUCUCAAAUA
rnacentral:tRNA from 1 species